AUGUUAGAGCAAAACAUCUCAAUACUGUGUUGGAAUGUGCGUGGCUUGAACUGCCCAGACCAUAGAGCCACUGUCCAUGAAACAAUUGCUACAUCCUCCUGCCAUCGUGUUUGCCUACAGGAAACAAAGCUUCAAGUCAUUGGCAGUUUCAUCGCUACAUACCUUGGUGGUUACCGAUUGUAGAAUUUUGCUUACAAACCUGCUGAUGGAACUAAAGGAGGCAUAUUACUCCUAUGGGAUGAUAAUGUGGUGAACAUUUCCAAUGUCCAGAUUGGAUCAUAUUUUCUUUCCGGAGAUGUUGCUGUCAAGAAUACCGAGAGAAAUAACUUCAAGCUUACCACUGUAUAUGGGCCAACUAGAAGCAUUCACAAAGAUGCCUUUUUUCUCGAGCUAUCCUCCCAGAAACCGUCGCCAGGGACAAAAUGGCUGGUUAAUGGGGACUUCAACCAGAUUUACCGGGCCAGAGAUAAAAACCGCUCCAAUGUUGAUCGUAGCAGAUUAGUUCGCUUCCGCAACACUAUUACAUCUUGUGAGCUCUAGGAGAUCCCCCUCCAGAACCGGAAGUUUACUUGAAGUAACGAGAGAAACAAUUCGACGCUUAGUAAACUUGACAACUUUUUUUGCAAUGAGGAUUGGGACAUUGAAUUCGCCAACCACAUACUUCAUGCCAUGUCCUUCUCGCUCUCAGAUCAUUGUCCGUUGUUGCUCGCUUGCACGGACGGCCCCAAGAAACCCAGGUCCUUUAGGUUUGAGAACCAUUGGACCAAGAUGCCAGGCUUCCAAAAGACGAUCAGCGAUGCUUGGAACGAAGAUUCGAGUCACCAAGAUCCCUACCAAAGACUUUUUCACAAGCUAAAAUCUACUAGUCGACGAUUACGUUCCUGGAGCAAAACACUCUUCGCUAAAUCUAAGGUCCAGCUGCAUAUGGCCCUUGAAGUUAUUCUCCGUCUCGAUAUGGACCAGGAACAAAGAGAAUUAUCCGAACAGGAAAUUGAUCUUCGGAAACGGCUCAAGAGGAAGAUUAUUGCCUGGGCUGUGCUUGAGAAGUCCAGAAAGAGGCAAAACUCAAGAAUCACCAAUUUGAAGGACAGCGAUGCU
rnacentral:rRNA from 1 species